AGUGUAGGCGGCUUCGUAAGUCGGAUGUGAAAGCCCCGGGCUUAACCUGGGAAUUGCAUUCGAUACUGCGCGGCUAGAGUCUGAUAGAGGGAAGUGGAAUUCCAGGUGUAGCGGUGAAAUGCGUAGAGAUCUGGAGGAACACCAGUGGCGAAGGCGGCUUCCUGGAUCAAGACUGACGCUGAGGCUCGAAAGCGUGGGGAGCAAACA
rnacentral:rRNA from 1 species